CUCUGUGACUCCUACGGGAGGCAGCAGUGGGGAAUAUUGCACAAUGGGCGCAAGCCUGAUGCAGCCAUGCCGCGUGUAUGAAGAAGGCCUUCGGGUUGUAAAGUACUUUCAGCAGUGAGGAAGGUGGGUAUGUUAAUAGCAUACUCAUUUGACGUUAGCUGCAGAAGAAGCACCGGCUAACUCCGUGCCAGCAGCCGCGGUAAUACGGAGGGUGCGAGCGUUAAUCGGAAUUACUGGGCGUAAAGCGCAUGCAGGUGGUUUGUUAAGUCAGAUGUGAAAGCCCGGGGCUCAACCUCGGAAUUGCAUUUGAAACUGGCAAACUAGAGUACUGUAGAGGGGGUAGAAUUUCAGGUGUAGCGGUGAAAUGCGUAGAGAUCUGAAGGAAUACCGGUGGCGAAGGCGGCCCCCUGGACAGAUACUGACACUCAGAUGCGAAAGCGUGGGGAGCAAACAGGAUUAUAUACCCUGGUAG
rnacentral:rRNA from 1 species